rnacentral:lncRNA from 1 species
UGUGUAUGUUGGCUUGGGAGCAUGUGGAGAAGCGGAAGAUCAGCUGGCGUGAUCUGUGGGCGAUGGACGCCGGUCGUAUUAAGUUUCUCAUCGGAGCCACCUACGAUGUUCUCCCUACUCCGCAGAAUCUUAAUCGCUGGGUAGGUACAGAGCCGACUUGCAGCUUGUGCGGUGGUGUAGCCUCUUUGAGGCACAUUCUAUCUGCAUGUAAGGUUAGUUUAUCUCAGGGAAGAUAUACUUGGAGGCAUAAUGAAGUGUUAAGAUCCUUGGCAUGCUUGUUGGAGAACAAGCGGGUUGAAGUUAAUUCACUCCCGCAGUAUGGAAGAAAUAAGCUUAUUUCUUUCGUGCGGGAGGGGGAGAGUGUUAUAAGUCACGCGCGUGGUCGUGGUGAUACGAGUUUUAAAUGGGGUGAAGUGCGUGACUGGAAGUUGUUGGCGGACGUGGGAAAACAACUGCAGAUGCCGCAGUGCAUUGCGAUCACGGCGUUGAGACCCGAUAUUGUGCUGUACUCCGAGGGCGCACGGAUAGUGUACUUCAUUGAAUUAACUAUACCUUUCGAAGACUCAUUGGAAGAUGCCUUUGAGAGGAAGAAAUUGAAGUACACUGAGUUGGCUGGUGAGGUGAGGGAGCGAGGCUGGCAGUGCGUUAUUAGACCAGUGGAGAUCGGUACUAGAGGGUUUGUUGCAAAAUCAACCACGUCGCUGCUGUUGGAGUUUGGUUUUAGGGGUCAGUCGUUAAGAGCAGCCAUUAAAGGCUUGUCAGAGGUAGCAGAAAGAUCUAGUCAGUGGUUGUGGAUGAGAAGGCACCAGGGUGCUUGGGGGAAGCACACUUGAGUGGGGAGUACUCACCUAGGUGAACAUCAAUGGUUUGAGUUUUGUUGUCACCUCCAUAUGCUGGUAUGGUGUAUUGGUUGGUUUUUUUUUUGGUGGGUGGAGUCGCUGGGAUGGCACUGUGGGCAUGGAGGGGGGUGGGUCUGGGACGCCAGAUCUCGCUGUUGAGCCUUCUGGAGGUGUAGUGGGCUCAAUUCAAUGAAACAUCAAUGAAGGAAGGUGCCCACUUGACAACCCCAACGAAGUGCACACGGUGGCUCCCGGCAAGGAGGAUGGUGUUUGCCCAUGAUAUUUUUUGUGAAGGGAAUUGGUUGGUUUUGGGAGGGAUGGUAUAUUGUGGCAUGGUUGGUUUGUCUAGCCCCCUUGGUUUUUGGCACGAGGGGUUGAAUAUCUUUCCCUGUGUAUUAUUGUAUGUAUAAU